rnacentral:rRNA from 1 species
UACGUAGGGGGCAAGCGUUAAUCGGAAUUACUGGGCGUAAAGCGUACGCAGGCGGCUUUGCAAGACAGGUGUGAAGUCCCCGGGCCUAACCUGGGAACUGCAUUUGUGACUGCAUGGCUAGAGUUUGUCAGAGGGGGGUGGAAUUCCACGUGUAGCAGUGAAAUGCGUAGAUAUGUGGAGGAACACCGAUGGCGAAGGCAGCCCCCUGGGAUGUGACUGACGCUCAUGUACGAAAGCGUGGGGAGCAAACAGG